AUGCCGACCCGACAACCGGCAGUUCCACCGCGGAAAGUGGGACCCUCGAGGAAGAUGGAGGAGGUCUCUGCCCUGAGGCACCGAUCGUUGUCCCCGACGCACGAGAGCAGCUUCGCGCCGCUCGUGCCGCGGGCGACCAAGUCCCAGGAGAAGGUCAUCCGGCCGGAGCUCAAACCCGUGGACACGCGGGUCCGACGGGAGCGAUUGGAGAGGAGGGUGGAGACGAGUCAGAGACGGAGUAUAUUCGACAGUGGCCGGGACAGCUGGCUCAACGCACCUAAAGGGGACCGCAGGAGUCAAAGGCAGCCCGAGGGGAGGGAUAGGCGCACGAAGAAAGAAGAGCCGAGGACAAGGUUAGACUCAGGCGAUUCAAUCUUGGAAGAACUGACAAAAGCAGCCGACGAGAUCCUGCUAGCGGUCAACGGGUGCACGGACGACGAGUCCCGCGCCAGCAGCGACGACGAACGCAAGCCCACGAAACAGCCCGCGCCAGCGCCGGCCCCGCUGGCGGCCAUCGCGGAGAACCCUCCCACGCGGCGCCUCCGGACGGCCGAGCGCUCCGAGGCCCGCCUCAAGUCCCGCGCUAAGCCCACGGCGGAGCCCACCAAGCCCACGGAACCCUCCCGAGCCGCCCGCACCGUGGACGAACGGAACCGGAGGCGGCUUGCCCGCGUGUCGCUCAACCGUGGACACGUCGCUUCCUCGUCCGAGGACAUAGAGUCGGCCGCCGAGAACGCCGCCAACGCCAAGAUGAAGAGGGUUGUCAGGAGGGUCGUUAAGUCGCAGCCCACCAGGGAUCCUGUUUCCAGCAGCCAUAAACCAAGGGAAAGGGUUUAUCGAGUGGAUCACCCGGAGGAAGAGAAGAAAAUUGUAAGAUCGUCAACGCGAGAGAACGGACUUCGGAAAGUAGACUACCUCUCGUCCUCGGCGCACAGACGGAAGAGAACCAGCGAGACCGUAGCCAAGCCUGAAGAUCUCAGAAAUUCCAACGUCAGUCAUUUAGAGAGCCGUAAGGAGUCUCACCGAACGGUUAGAGGAUCCUCACAUGGUCAAAAAUGUGAUUCUCGGAUCAAGAUUGUGUCAUCAAGCAAUAAAAGUCGCAUAAUACCUUCAUCAAAAUGAAGCUGUAUAAUUAAAACUAGUCACCUCAAGGUCUGAUAGUCAGCUAUGUGCGUGUCUGAUUUUCUUCGUUGAAGCACCGACUACUUAUCUAAUUAUCUGCCCCCCCCCCCCUCUCCCCACAUUCUCCCGUUGGGGUGUGUUUUCAGUGCUAAAAGUUAGAAUAAAACUGUCUUUAGUCUUUUGAAACUUGCAAAAGAAUUGAAACUGACUGGUACUAAAUUAAAUUCUACUAAGUACUCUAAAAACUUCUGAAAUCCCUCAAUUUAUAUAUUGUUGUUCUAGUUGUUCUGUAAAUCCAUGAAGCUUAUUUAUUAAUUUAUUUCUAACUAAUAGCAUGUCCUGUUUUGGAAAAAUUCAGAGACAUUUUAUUUCUAAUUCGGAAGUCAUGAUUAAUAGCGCAGUUAUAUGGACAUAUACGUCCCCUCCCCCUUAAAAACUGCAUUAAAACUUGAAAACUAUUAAGGACCGUCCUGUGUUCUUCAGGUAACUUUAAGUUCUAUAAUAGGUAAACUCUCCUGGACAGAGGUAAGCGAACUUCCUGUAAAAGUACAUAUUUGCUGUUUUCACAGAAGUCGUGGAAUACAUGGAUUUAUUUACAUCACGGUUGUACCAACAUAGAAACACAUAGCGCAUUAUUACUUAUCUCCCAUAAAAAAUGUCCCUUAUUAUGAAGCCAAUAGUUAUGCAAUAUGAUUUUUUUUUCUGGUGUACAGAACUGCUGACCAUGAGACAUAAAUCAAAAGAAAAUGAAGCCUUUUAGCCAUAAGUAUUUACCUAUCUCUCGUGUCAUUGAACACGAAGAAAAAUCUGUACCGCUGAAGAUGAGAAAAAACUUAGUUUGUUUGCCUAUUUUUGUAUGUAGUAUUUAUGGACUCACAUUCAAUCGCCAUAAAUUGUAAAUACCUAUUUCUUUUUUCCCUUUUUUUACUGUUCAUUGUUUAAGUGUUAUUAAUUCGCUCAUCUGCUGUUCAAAUACAGAUUAUUUUUUUACUAAUUGAAACAAAGUUGUAGAUUUUUUCCUGUUCCACUAAAAACAUAUUUACUUAAAAUUAUGUAAAAAUUGAGAAGCUUUCCGAGGGAAGGGCCCAAAAAGUUCACACGCUCUUUUUUUGGAACUUUGUCGUACUUGGAUUCAGCGUAUCUGUUGUAUGCGCGUGCAAAAUUGCAGCUCAAUUCGUGAAUUUUUUGAGCCGGGAGAUUUCCGUUAACACGAUUUAUCGCCAUCAGUUUCUACUCAAAUCCUGAAAAAUCAAUAAAUUUGUAACCUAUCCACAUGAAAAGGGACCUUACUGAUGGAAAAUCAAAAUUAAGUUCCUGUCAUUUGAGUUUAGAAGACUGUUCCUCAAACGCUCAGGGGCAAAUACUCCAAAAAAUGUGAAACCAAAGUCGAGAGUUUGGUUAGCCACAAAACAAGACAAUUUGAGGUUCAAAUUACUUUUUUCAGAAUUGGGCACACUCUUUCCAGUCACAACCUCAUAAUCUGUGAAGAGGAUGAGCGCUCGACAUGACUGCAUUUAAAUGGUUUGUCAUUGGGUUUAGAAUAAAACAUGAGUUUUUCAGGUAUAACUGCCGGCAUGGAUUUUUGGCCCACAGUUUUUGGAGUUUUUGUCUCCGAGCAUUUGUGGAACAGUUUCUAGACUCAAAAGACGAGAACUGAAUUUUGACUUUCCACGCACCAAUUGCUCUAGGGUCCUUUUUAUUGGAUGGACCCAAAUUUACUGAUUUUU
rnacentral:lncRNA from 1 species